CCCAGGUCAGGCGGGACUACCCGCUGAGUUUAA
rnacentral:rRNA from 11 species